rnacentral:rRNA from 1 species
UACGUAGGCAGCGAGCGUUGUUCGGAGUUACUGGGCGUAAAGAGUGCGUAGGCGGUUUUCUAAGUUUGGUGUGAAAUCUCCCGGCUUAACUGGGAGGGUGCGCCGAAGACUGGAAGGCUUGAGUAUGGGAGAGGUAAGCGGAAUUCCUGGUGUAGCGGUGAAAUGCGUAGAUAUCAGGAGGAACACCUGCGGUGUAGACGGCUUACUGGACCAUCACUGACGCUGAGGCACGAAAGCCAGGGGAGCGAACGGG